rnacentral:rRNA from 1 species
AGGACGAACGCUGGCGGCGUGCUUAACACAUGCAAGUCGAGCGGAAAGGCCCUUCGGGGUACUCGAGCGGCGGAACGGGUGGAGUAACGACGUGAGCAACCUGCCCUUAGCUCUGGGAUAGCUCCGGGAAACCGGAAUUAAUACCGGAUAUUACACCGGCUGGCAUCGGCUGGUGUGGAAAGAUUUAUCGGCUAAGGAUGGACUCGCGGCCUAUCAGCUUGUUGGUGGGGUAGAAGCCUACCAAGGCGACGACGGGUA